rnacentral:lncRNA from 1 species
CCGCCCGCCUCGGCCUCCCAAAGCGCUGAGAUUACAGGCGUGAGCCACCGUGCCCAGCCGAAAAUCAUUCUUACACCUACUGUCCUGGAGCUGACUUCAGUUUAAAAUCCCCUCAAUAAGUCACACCUUAAAAAAAAAAGGAGGGGUUAUUCCUGCUUUUGCCGUGCUGUGAUCCAGGGCAGAGUUUCUCGUCAACCAGUAAAACAUCCAGUAACACAGCCAAUGGAAAUAAAUGAAUGGGUCUCUGUUUAUAGUGAAGAUUCUUUCGUUC